rnacentral:rRNA from 1 species
GACGAACGCUGGCGGCGUGCUUAACACAUGCAAGUCGAACGAAGUGGCGAACGGGUGAGUAACGCGUAAUCAACCUGCCCUUCAGCGGGGGACAACAGUUGGAAACGACUGCUAAUACCGCAUACUGAAGGAGGGGAUUGCGUCUGAUUAGCUAGUUGGAGGGGUAACGGCCCACCACGGCGAUGAUCAGUAGCUGUUAUGAGAGGAGGAAUGGCCACAUUGGAACUGAGACACGGCCCAGAUUACUACGGGAGGCAGCAGUGGGGAAUCUUCCGCAAUGGACGAAAGUCUGACGGAGCAACGCCGCUUGAGUUAUGACGGCCUUCGGGUUGUAAAGCUCUGUUAAUCGGGACGCGGUACCGGAAUAGAAAGCCACGGCUAACUCCGUGCCAGCAGCCGCGGUAAUUC